UUUCCAUUCAAAACAAUACAGAAAUUAAAUAAAGACAUGUCAUCAUAUCUUUUAUUUAAUGUAAAUAUAAGUAAAAAACUGAUGAAAUGGAGAUAUUUCAAAUGAGGUUUGAUACUGCCAAGUAAACCAACAACAUCUUUUAACAUUGAUUAUAAGUCCUACUUGCAUAGCAAUGCAUACUUGCAUUUCCCUGAAUGUUUGGAAAUAUAGUCACAUACAAACAUUGUGUAACAUGAAUACAAUUUGUAGACAAAGCAAAUGUCACAACACUCAAAAAUCCUGAUAAAUAGCUUGGAAUUAAUGAAUGGAAACAGAACUGUACACAUUCGAUUUGGAGAUACCAACACGUACAACAAUAUUAGUAUGUACAGUUGUGCUCAAAAGUUUGCAUACGCUUGGAGAAUUAAUAAUAUAUGUACGAUUUGUAAAGAAACCAUGAUUGAGCAGGCAAAACACGUCUUAUUUCUCAUGGGAUUCCCAUUUAACUGUAGGUCACAACAGAAUGGCACAAUCAUAAAACAAAACAUGGCAACAAAGAAAAAUGAAUGGACGCUUGUUCAAAAGUCUGCAUACCCUUAGUUCUUAAUACUGUGUAUUGGCCCCUUUAGCAUCAAUGACAGCAUGCAGUCUUUUGUAAUAGUUGUCUAUGAGGCCACAAAUUCUUGCAAGUGGUAUAGCUGCCCAUUUUUCUUGACAGAAUGCCUCCAGGUCAUGCAAAGCCUUUGGUCGUCUUGCAUGAACCGCACGUUUGAGUUCUCCUCAGUGGGGCUCGAUGAUAUUAAGGACUGGAGACUGUUCUCCAAACAUAACGCUUAUGGAUGUGACCAUAAAGCUCUAUUUUGGUCUUGUCACUCCAAAUUAGUGUGCCAGAAGCUGUGAGGCAUGUUAAGGUGUUGUUGGGCAUAUUGUAACCAGACUUUUAGUGGGAUUGGCACAGUAAAGGCUUCUAUCUGGCAACUUGACCAUGCAGCUCAUUUUUGUACAAGUAUCAUCGUAUUGUGCUCCUUGAAACAACCACACCUUUUCCCACAGCCUUUAUUUCUCCUGAGGUUACCUGUGGGUUUUCUUUGUAUCCCGAACAAUUAUUUUGGCAGUUUUAGUUGAAAUCUUUCUUGGUCGACCUGACCUCUGCUUGGUAUCAAGAGAUCCCUGAAUUUUCAACUUCUUAAUGAGUGACUGAACACUAAUGAUUGGCAUUUUCAAGGCUUUGGCUCUUUUUAUAUCCUUUUCCAUUUUUAUAAAGUUCCAUUACCUUGUUACACAGAUAUUUCGACAGUAAUUUUCUUCUCCCUUUGGCUCAAUAUCUAGCCUGCUCAGUGCAUCCACGUGAGAGCUAACAAACUCAUUGACUAUUUGACUAUACUUUAUAAAAAGCCACAGGUGUGGGAAAUUCACCUUUAAUUGCCAUUUUCACCUGUGUGUGUCACCUUGUGUCAGUUACAAGGCCAAACAUUCAAGGGUAUGUAAACUUUUGAUCAGGGCCAUUUGGGUGAUUUUUGUUAUCAUUAUGAUUUGAAAAGGAGCCAAACAACUAUGUGAUAAUACACGGCUUCAUAUGAUCACUAUCCUUAACUAAAAGACAGUUUUCUUGCAUGAUCAGUCAUAUUUUCAAAAUCAAUUCCUACAUUUCACAUUUUCUGCUGGGGUAUGCUAAUUUAUGAGCACAACUGUACCUUAGACACACCAGUGCCAUGUGUGUGUACCCCUUUAAGUACAUUUCAGUCCAUUUAAAUAAGGAAGUGGUCAGCUUUGUAAACCAAUGUAGUUUUGUGCUGCAACUUUUCGAAGAGAAAUGCAAAUGUUGUGCUCUGUGGGUAUUGUUGCCUAGUUACGGUUUCCGAAAUUAGGUAUGGGGUUGGCAUCUAUAAAUAUAGGUGUGUGUGUUACCAUUUAUUGCACCAUCUCCCCACUAUUUAAUCUCUUUCCCACCCAGAACAAAAUCAACUCAUGGUGAUAAUUGCUGUGUCAGUUGGUGCCCUUCUCUUAUCAGUGAUGCUGAUAACCAUCUGUAAAGUGAAGAGAUGCCCAGCAAAGCAGACACGGAACUCAGCCUGCAGGAUAAAGAUGGAGGCAAUUGAACCUGUGGAGACUCCUAACUCAUAACUGAGAGGAGAAUGUUGUUCUGUGUUCAUUCACAGGCGUAGUGGAGAAGUUAUUGAUUAGACACUGUGGAGAGAAUGUAUUCAUUUAGAGAAACCCAAAUGUGUACUGUACAUGUUUCUUCUACCUAGUUGGUGUGCUGAAGAGUGGAUUUGAAGAAAGAUAAUGAAUCACCGCUGUUUCAAAAUAAGGAAGUAAAACGAUACACUUGUGUUGCUGCACACUUUUGUCAGAGAAGCGGGAGGAGGGGUAGGUAAUGUUGAAACUACUCACUGUGACCUUUUUGUAAAAAAUAUAGACUGCAUGUAAAGUGAACAUUCAGUUGCAGCUGAGUAUGUCUUGCAUAGAAAGAAGUGUGGACAAUAUUAUUUGGGGUGCUUGUUUUUGGGCUCUGUUUGGGGUCAUUUCAAUGUUUUUUUAAUUUGCUUCCACUCAAUACUUUUUCUAGAUCCCCAAAUGUUCUCUGUUGUGUUCCCUCAAGUUACUGCAAGGCAAAAAUGAUAAACAAUAUCUGAACAGAAAUGAUGAAAUAUCUUACCAUGAGACACUUCUGCAACCAUUGCAAAUCCAAACAGCUCAAGUGUCUCUUGACACCAUCAUUUAAUAAAUGAGCCCCCUUGCUGGAAGAUUUUACUUCAGCGAUCUGAUGCAGCAAUGCAAAUAAAUGAAACGUUGUUAUAGAAGCUACCGAUGCAUCUCUCAUCCAUUUUGUUUCUGUAAAAAAAACUCAGAAGGAAAUUAGCUAAUUGUCUUUUUUCAGAAAAAAGGAAGAAAAGCCCUUAGUCAUUCUCCCCAUAGUCAUUGUAUCAUUUAAAAUCCAGUUUUUACAACAAAAGAAAAAUAAAUCAAAAAAGGUUUUGCAGUUCAAAUACUUACAUAGUUAAUUGUAUUUAUAGAAUUUGUCAUCUCAAUUAUUAUAUUUUUCACAGUCUCUAAUCACAGUCUGUAGGAAAAGACAACACAUCACAGCCAGUUCUGACUUGUUUUGACACUGUUGCUAUUUUCAACACUAACUAAAUACGCAUUUACAAAAGAAAUGCAGGGACAUUUGAUGGCUGAUUUAUUUUUGUUUUAGUAUUUAUUUUUUGGCUGAUUAUCCAAAUUUCAUCUUUAAAUAACUGGACUCAUUGAACAAAAGCUGGUGACGGUUUAGAUCUCUGGAAAUGAUCUACCAUUAAUGUAAUUUGAUGAGUUCACAGUUAGAUCAUGCAUGCACAGCUAAACUCCUGUCAAUGCUCAAAAUGCAAAUACGAUGUAAUGAUCUAAGGCGGAAAUCAGGCGAAUGUGUGUUCUGGAGAUGAGCUCAUAUGAACGUCCCUGAUAAUAAUAAAUACAAGUGGGUUCAAUUACAUGACUCAAAUUAUUUACACACAUUUGUCUUCUUUCUUAUAGCAGCAAUACAAUAAUUUUCUAUUUGUUCACCCUGAAUAACAGACUGUGCAUCCAAUCAGCAAUGAUUGUCUUGUACCCACCCUUUCUUUUUUGACUAAUGUUGUUGUUUCAUAUUAGGGGGAGUGCAUUCAUAUUCGGGGAAGGGGUAUUGUAUUGAAUUGGGAAUAUGUCAUCGUAUUAGUGGUUAUGUUUUCAUAUUGGGGGCGUGCGUUCAUAUUUGGGGAAGAGGUAUUGAAUUGAAUUGGGAGUGUGUCGUCUUGUUAGUGGUUAUGUUGUGCAUUAUUAUUUAAGUGGUGGUUUUAGUGAUUUGGGGGCCCCUAGGCAGAGACUGGUUGAGGCCCCAACAUCAUCUAUUUGUUACCUACUGUCCUUAUAAAAGCCAUACUGGCAACAUUUUGAACAUACCUUCUUUCUUUAUUGUUGAAUGGGACUGCCAAAAGACACUUCCAAAGACACUUUGGAAUCACUUCCCCUUUUGGUAUAUCAAUUAGUUUAAAAAUAACAUUAUUAUAAUUAUCUGCAGGGUUCAUACUGCCUUAUAAUUGGUUACGACUACAGUGAAGCACAAAGCACUUAGCCAUUUUGUUCAAGUGUAGUUUCUUAAUCAUGAUCAAUA
ensembl:lncRNA